AAAUUAGUAUUUUAGUAGAAUAAUAAGUUGCAAACUUAUAGGUAAUUUUUCUAAUUUU
rnacentral:tRNA from 1 species